GGAAGUUAAAACAAUUACUGCAAAAAAUAAUCAAAACAAAACAAGAGUGGGAAAAAGGUAAAAAUAAUAAAUAGAGGUUGUCAAUGUCUGCUAUAGACAGGCAAGGACAGAUGGCAUCAUAGACAAUCCAGAAGACAUGUCUGGAUUGUCUAGGAUGGCAUUAAACAUAAGAAAAGCGUUCAUUAAUGCCAGAAGGGUUAACAGUGCCAAGUUUGGAUAUGAGGCGCAUUUCAUGUCGUUUGCGGCUAUCGUUGCUUCCAGAAAUGGGACAGAGGGCUCGAAUUACCAUAUCUGAAACACUGUGAUUGCCAUUAUUAAAAUGUCUGGCAACAGGUUGGUUAGCAUCAUUGCCAAUAACUGCACGCCGAUGCUCACCAAACCUUGUCCUUAAACAUCUUCC